AGCGGCGCAAGGACAAUCAUCGAGGUCGGUGGACUCGGCCUCGUUGUGCACGUCAUCGGACUAGUUUUCAAGGAGGAGGCGCACAGAACGCCGCGAGCCAUCGUAUUCCACCUCUUGUCGAUAGAGGAAUACCGUGCGGAAAUCGGGGAUUUGCUAGAGGGGCGGUGCCGCCACUAAUGGCUCUUCUCUCCGGCCAAGAAUAGGGGGCCUUGCUAACGAAGAUGGCGGUGCUGGCAAAGGUCGCCGAGCAGCACCGUCUCCUCUCCUUCCCUCUCCGCAGCAAAAAGAAAAUCUCUGUUCAAAGGUAGCAGGUAGAUGAAUUAUGGAUGUUUGGAGAGUCUCGACUGCCGGCCCCACUUCCCACAUCAUAUCUGAGGGCAUUUAUCGAUUUUAUUUCCGCUUUACUUGUAUUUUUAGUAUUCAGCAGUUGUAGUAUUGUAUGAAUUUGUCUGUAUUUGGAGUUUGAUUCAUGGUGUUUUACUAUCGUGAUCUUGUGCUUGUGUAAGCCUAAUUGGCUAAUACACUUUAGUUGUGGAUUGUGGGUUUUCUUUUCGUUUUUCCGCUGUGCUUUUAAUAUAGUCGUGUGGGCUGAAUAUUAAUUGUGUGGUUGUUCUAUUGAUUUAUGUCUAGCCGGGUAGGCUGUGUUAUAUA